GUUUAUUUUCCACAAGGCAAGCUAAGGUUUUGUAUUUUUUUUUUUUUAACUUAUAAGGAAAGGGAGGAAAUUCCUCCUCCUCCCUUCCCUGCCCAUACAUUUCCCUCGUUCGUGAGUCUUUAGAAGGCUAUGAAACUGCACCAGGAACAAACAAGGACUUUCUUUAGUGAAUAAAUAUUUACGACAGCCAACUUGGAUACCUAAGGCUGAGGCUGAUUUCUCUGAAACAUGCACCAGAAACUCUCAGGGCUUGAUCCUGCCCGGACUGAAACAUGCCUCCUGGAGCAGCAGCUGCUCCUCAUAACACAUGUCUGAAAUCUUGAGCAGGACCACAGAGCACUUUGAUGGAACUGGGUUGGCCAGUUUGUGCUGGCUGCCUCUGUUUUCUGUGCACUCAGAUGUUUUGGCCGUGGCUUGGAAGCCCAGCCCUGCUGCCACAUGAAAGCUCACAGAGCCAGGAAGGAUCUCAUCACAUUGAGAAACUGAAUUCGUAGCAGAGCUGGAAAAGCCUCUUGGUUCUGACUCAAAACGUUUCUAGAAUGGGGUUUCAGGGCUUACGCUGGAAGCGGUUUGCUGCAGUCAAGCUGUGCAAGAUAAUAACUUCCUCUUACAAAAGCUGUACCAUCCUACAUGCAUUUCAAAUUACAUUUUAUGGACAAACAUUGAAGUACAGUUAUUGGCAGUGCAUGCAAUUGCAUAUAUUUAUAGUAAUCAAAUUCUAAGGUAUGAGAGCCAAGAAGUAAGUUGGUUGCCAUUUUCUUAAUCAUGUAUUUAGUUGACAAUGUAGUUAGUUCUGCUAAAGCUUAAUGAAGUUUGCAUUGUGAUAUUGUGAUGUUUAUGAAGUAAGUUAUGUGGUAUGCUUAAGCAUGCUAUAAAAACAGUUAUAAAAAUACAAACUCUUCCUUUAACUUGCCACAAUAAGUAAAAUCUGAAAUCACUAGAAAGGAUAAACAUCUAUUGAUAUAUAGAUUGGAAAAGGAAUCUGGACAUCUCCAAAUAAAGAAGACAGAUUAUUUUUAUUAAGUAGGACCGAGAAAUCGUAUCUUGUCUCUUUUACCCAUACUGCCACAGGCUUUAUGCAAUUCAUUGACCCUUUUGGAGCUUCAUCUCCCACAUAUACAAUACAUCACAAAAGGACUGUGAGAUGGAGUAGUGCUUGUAAGAAAUGUUGAGACCUUCUUUUGGAAGGUACCAGAAAAGGCCUUGUUUAUGUGUUUGGUUCAUUUUGGUUGGGAAUUUAAGGUGACAUAGCCAUUUCUGGCAAUCCUCCUGUGGGUGCUCUUCCUCUGGAAUAAAACUGCCUUACCAGAAAUGGUCUGGAUCCACUCCACUAACUUGUGUUUGCUUCUCUGGCAUAUACUAAAGUGAAGAAACAUGGGAUAUCCAUAAUCCUCUGUUUAGAUGUAGCAUCUGUUAGCAUGGACAGCUCAGGAGAGCAAGGAGCAUUGCCUGAGGUAAGCAUUUAGUUUUCUUUCCAGUUAAACAUAUCCAUGCCUACUUUGCUGCAGAGGAACAGUUUCCUCACGUCACUCACAUGGGCUUGACUUGUCCCAUACUUUUUUGGCAUCUCCAGUAAGAUUUAGUGUAUUCCCUAAUUCCACUGCUCCAUAUAAAAGUUUCUCAGUGACAGCUCUUUUCUGAGACAUUUUAACCACUAUCUGGCUUCCUCGUACCCUUUGCAAAGUAUUGUGCUCUAUUGCUAACGUAGUCACCAUGCCUUUAAACAAAACCCCACCUAGCACUGAGGCUCUGUCUGAGCUUCCCGGCAGAGCCUGGGAAUGUGCCUCCCUUGGCUCACAGACACUUUCUACAGCAUCUCAUCCCCAGCAGUCACAUGAGCAGUCCUGCUCCAUUUUCUCUGUGAGCUGACAGGACUUCGACCAUCAGAUCAUCAUGUUUAGGAGGUGCUUUGGCAGUCAGCUGUUGGAUGCUCAUGGGAGCAUGUCUGCAGCCAGCACAUCUCCUCUUAGCUUGUAUGUAGCUUGCAGAGUUGAAGCUUGCAGCUCAAAAAAUCAUCUUGCUAUUGUAUUUUCUCCCCUCAGUACUGUUACAAACUGUGCCCUUUCCCAUGUGGUUUUUUUUCAUGCAGACAUUUUUCACAUGCUUUCUCAGAUCACCUCUGGAAACCUUCUUUACCUUCUUAUCUACUUUGCUCUGUAUCAGGUUUUCUGGGAACACCAUGGUUUGUGAAAUAGCUUAACGUGAAAAACGGUCCCACUGGCUUUCAGGCUGAAUCCUUUUGUUGACAGUAUCUGGAGUAUCCAUUGCUCUGAUAACUAAUUCCUUGUUGCUCUUCUAACACUGUGCUCAGAUCACUGCACAAACAUUAGACCCAUUUGCUGCUGUAUGCCACUCUUUGUGGACCCUGAUCUUGGGCUUGACAUAGUUUUAUGCUUUGGGUCCCUUUUCUGGCUAUUGCCUGGUAAAUUUGAAUUGCAGAAAAAAAGAGUGAAAGUCAGUUCCAAGUCUCUGGGCAGUCUCCUGCUCUGAGCAUCUUGUCCUGGAAUUGAUCCCAUCCUGCUCUCUGAAAAGGUAAAUGGCUCCACUCUGCCAGAGUGCAUCUAGAUGGCCCAGUGGGAGCACAGGAGCUGAGUGUCAUCUUUGAAAGCCUGGCUAAGGAGCGGGUGAUGGAGCUUGCCACAUGAAGAGUGGUGCUGGCACAAAGUCAGGGGCUGUGCAAUACGGCGCCAGAGUGGGAAUGGACACCACAUUCGGGAAAACACCCAAAGUUGAUUUUGCUGCAUGUUUUACAUCAUGGACCCACGGCCUGUGCCAAGCUGAUCUGCACUCUCUCUUCUAAGGUGAAGAAAAGUCUCCAUCCUCUUAGCAGCUUCCAGCAUUCCUGGCCAUGUCAUGCAGCAGGAUCCAAGGGCUUUUUGACAUCACUGGGAAAAAAUGAAUCCUCCCUUCUAGUGCUUUCUGCAUUUCUGUUUCUAUGCUCUCUGAAGUCACCGGUCUGGAUACUGAAGUGUAUGUUCUGCUUUGGCAGCAUGUGAGGGAUUUACAAGAGGAGCAAACUCUCCAUUUUGCUGAUGACCUUGGGGAAAUGGGAGUGGACGGCAGGUUGCUGCUCAUUGUCAGAGAGUUCAUGUGUGCCUCCCCAGGGCAGCACUGGAUCAUCAUGCUCUGGCUUGUCAGAACGGGCUUGCUUGCUGGCUCGGACGUGGCCAGAGGAGACGCUGGUGCAGAGAUGCACUCAUCAGCCAGCAGCUCCUCACUUGGGGAUGUCUCACGUGGACCUGCUGGGAGCCUGGCUCCCACCUGGCUGCUGCAGCUCAGUGUCACUCUGCACACCUUGACUAGGACAUCUAUAAGGAAAGCGAAGGAGAUGUGGCUGUUGCACAACCUCCCUGGCCAGCGUGGACACUGGACUGGAGACCUGGGGCCCUGGCCUCAUUUUUAACUAGGGCGAAGCUGCACCUUGUGUGAAAAACAUGCAAAGUGCAACCUUGUUCCUAUCUUGUGACCUGAAUUGCCAGAUGCAGCAGCCAUGGAGAAGUGGACCACUGAACACGACCUUGCCAGAAGCAUUAGGCUCAUCCCAGGAAGCCACCAACAGCCUGCAUAAUAUUGCAUAUAAAGUUUCGAAGGACUUGUGGGAAGGCAGGGGGAAGAGAAGGCUUUGGAGAUCCUUAGAGGACUAGUGGAGCUGUCAUGGAUGUGAGGCUGUGAUUUGCAGCUCCCGAGCUGCACUUGGGCUCAACAGCGAUUCAACUGCAGAAGCUCAGCUCAAGGGAUAAUGUCAGAAAAUUGUAACCUGAGAAAAGAUCCCUUGAACAACGCUGUCAGGCACUGUGCUGCUGGUCUUUGUUCAUCCCUCCUCACCGAUUUGUUUACACUGGAAUGGAAAGCAUCAGCUACAAGUUACAACAUAAAACCACCAAACCCUUGAAGAUUAUGUGAGAGCUAUAGUUUGAUGAGCCAUUAAAUCAGCCAACGACAGGACAUGGGGAGGACAAAGCCUGUCCUAAGUGACCACCGAUGGAGCCAGCCCUAUUCAUGGAUUAGGGCUGCCAUGGAAACUCGGUUUGCAGAGCUCACCACAGCAAACACGGAAUGAAUGGCCAGAGAAGUCUUUUCUGUGUCCCUGAAUGCAAGAUGAGUUGAGCUUUAAAAAUGUACAUUCAGUUCUUGUACUUUACAUAUCCAAAAACCUGGGUUCUGGGAUGCCUUACAUCAGCAACUCCAGCAACAGCGUCUCUCAAACUGCCCAAAGAGGACAGGGGAAACCAGCACAAGAAAAAUGUAUCUGUGAAGCAGAGUUGCCUGGGAGGUCUCCUAGCAGGAUCCUUCCUGAUGCUGGAGCAGGAAGAGAAGCUGCAUAAGUGAUGUGAUUGAGUUUCCCCUUCGUGGUGCUGGUAUGUGUUUCGGAGCCUCGGCAGUGACUGCUGUGAUGAGUCCUGCUCGUCCUGCUCGAGCAUCGAGGGAGGGCAACCGUGGAGGAGCAGCGGAGGCUCACCCUGCCUCAGGCUACUUCGGGAUGCGCUGCUCCUCCCUGGAAGAAAAAAGCUAUUCAACCUCCCAUGGAAGCUGCUCUCCAGGACCAGAGCCAGCUGCGCUAUACAAUCUCUCCUUCUAGUUCUUGUAUCUUCUUUCCUUGGAAGUUUCAGCCACCACCAAUCACAGUAACUUCUGGCAAAGUCUCUAGUGCCACUUCCUCAGGAUGGAGGAGACUCAAGACGAGACGAACCAGCUGGUGUUUGCUGGCUGUAUAUGACUGCAUUGUCCUCAUUUUAAAACUGGACCUUGUCUCAACCACAGGUGCUUCUAGCAGGUGCCUUAAAGAGCAUUGAGCCAUCCUCUUGGAGGAAAAUCUAAGGUCUUCUCAAACACACUUUGUUUUACUGCACUGAACAUGAGGCUCAGCAGACAUGAUUGUUGGCAAUGUGCUGAAAGACAAAAGAAAAGGUGGCUAUGAAAAGCUGUAGCAUCUGGGAUCCUGUUUACAAACUGCAGGCAGCCUCCAGCGUCUGGCCUCAUGGGGAAAAAGGCAAUCUGAACAUUUUACACCCCAGCAGCCUCCCUGCAGCAAACAGGCAUGAGCCCACAAGGAUUUAAAUACAGAAGUUUCUGAUUUUCACCUGCCUCUAAUUCCUUAAGACUAAACUUUGUUCUACUCAUACAUGUGUCGUGCUGGUGCUGUAGAGCUGCUCUUUUUUGGAGGACUAAACACAGCAGCACUCAGGAUGUGUCCUGGGCCUGUCCUCUAUUUGAUAAGGUACAAAAACAUCCUGCUGCCUACUCUGUUAAGGGCUUGUUUCUCUGUGAAAAUCCUUUCUCUUAAUCCUUGGUUUAUGACUGUCUGAGAAAAUAUUCUAAUGAGCACUGAAAUGCUGAAUGGGACUCUCCCUCGAGAGGGAUGCUGCUGCCCUGAUGCUGCAGUCCCUGUGCCGUGCCCUUCUCACACCCUGACUGCUUCACGUCAGGAAAUCCUGGCUGAAAAGGGGAGUCUAGUCCUCAGGAGAAGAACAAAACCUGAAUCAUGAAGUGCUCUUAAUCUCAUAGUAAAGUUAAUUUAUAUUUUCCUUUUGUCCCACUUAGCUCCUGAGUAUUCAAGUGACCUCUGCCUCUAAACAUUGAACAUUUCCAUUUUCAUUCUAGCAUCCCCAUGUCAAAGACACAAUUGAGCUUUCAAGGGAAAUCUGAGAAACAAAGCAAAAGAGAUAAUGGAGGCUUCUGAAGAGGUGGUGGUGACAGCCCAACCGGCUUCAGUGCAUUUGAGUCCUCCCUAUUGAGAAUUUUUCUCACCUUCACAUAAAGGGCCAGUAUCUGUUACAGCCACAUGUGUCGGCUCUACAGAUGCACCCUGUUGAUUAGGUGAACUUUGUGUACCUCAUCUUGGUGGUGUUCAGAAGCCCAGACACAGACAAGAUGUUCUUAUUACUCAUGCCUCCCCUACUCAGGUGCUGUGUGUCGCUCUUGUAACUCAACCCCUAAAGAUUUAGCACUGAAGACCCCAUCCUGUGUGCAUCUACCACCAGCUAUAAUGCUGGUUAUUGUAAGCUUCUCUGUGGUUGCGAUGGGGUUGCCUACAGAGGCAAGCUCUGUGUGCUGGUUGGGGGCCCACUUUAAAACAAAAAUGCAGUCAGUAGGAAUUCAGAAUAUGGUAAAUAUUUUGAAGGAUGCCGAGGCUUUUGAAAGGCUGAGACUAAUCACGCUUUCUAGUUGAAGGUAUGGCUGCUUCUGUUGCAAAACAUUGAAAUAGAUUAAAUUCAGUUAUCAGACUGUCAUGGUACUUGAAUCAUAAUGCAUUGAUAUAUUCGGAAACAAUCUGGAGAAAUGGGCUGAGAGUGAGAUGACAAUGUUCACUGAUGGGAUCAUCUUAGAGAAAGCAAGCUUGACUGGCAAGGUGCAGAGGGAUCUCACAGUCCUGAGUGACUGGGUGACCAAGUGAUAGCUGAACUUUGUAACCCUGACAAGUGAAAAGACAUGCACAGGAGGCUGUGUAAAUAACUCUAUAAAUAGCUAGUGCAGCAUAGCCAGCAGAUUGAAGAAAGUGAGGUUUCCCCUGUACUUAUUAGACCACACCUGGAACACUGUGUCCAGUUUUGGGCCCCCAGUAUAAGGAAGGCUUUGGUAACUGUGAAUCCAGUGGAGGGCCACCAGGAUGGUGGCAGCUGGAGCGCUUGCCCUGCAAGGACAGGCUGGCGAUCGGGGCCUGUCUAGCCUGGAGAAGAGAUGGCUUUGGGAGUCUUCCAAUAUCUCAUGGCUUUGAGCAGGCUGUUGGGUUCAAUGACCUCCCAAAAUCCAGCCUGAGCUCUUCUAUUAUUCUAUAAUCCUUAGGAAAGUUGGUUCCAGUAAGUAGUUUUAUCUAAACAUCAACUUCAUGGAUGGGAGCAAUCACAAGAAGUAAACAGAACAUUAGGAAUUAUUAGGAAGGGAGCAGAGAAAAAGCAGGAAUUAUCAACAUCAAAUAGUACAAAUACAAGGUGUGCCUGGAUCACGAACAUCAUGUGCAAACCUGUCUCCCACUGAUCAAAAAGGAUAGAAUAGAACUAGAAAACGUAGGUGGAAGGGAAAGAAGGGUAAUUAAGAGCUUGAAAGAGACAGUAAUUCAGCUAGGACUAUUCUUUUUGGAAAGAAGGUAACAGAGGAGGUAUAAUAUAGUAAAUAAAAUCAUGAUUCUCAUGAGAACAUGGAGGGGAAUUAGGUGGCAGGUUCAAAACGGUCAAAGUGAACCAUAUCUGCAUUGUAGACAGGAUGUCUCAAGAAAGCAGCUGGCUUGUGACUGGAUAAGAGAAAAAGGCUGGAUUUUAUACAUGACAUGUUGUCAAGAUUUCCAUGCAAGUUUUUCAGAAAAUGAAGAAAAUCUAAAUAAAAAUAUAUUACAGCAACACUGCUAUUCAAAUGGAUCUGGACAAUGCAUGUAUUUAGCAGUUUACAGGUUUAUUAACGAAUGGCUUCACCUUCA